GGUAAGACGUGGGGGGCCACGUUGUUCGGAUUUAUUGGGUGUAAAGGGCAGGUAGGUGGCCGUGUAAGUCCGGUGUGAAAUCCCAGGGCUCAACCCUGGAACUGCAUUGGAAACUGCAUGGCUUGAGUAUCGGAGAGGUGAGGGGAAUUCUCGGUGUAAGGGUGAAAUCUGUAGAUAUCGAGAGGAACACCAGUGGCGAAGGCGCCUCACUGGCCGAUUACUGACACUGAGCUGCGAAAGCUAGGGGAGCAAACAGGAUUAGAUACCCUGGUAGUCCUAGCCGUAAACGAUGUGGAUUAGGUGUUGGAGGUGUCGAUCCCUCCAGCGCCGACGCUAACGCAUUAAAUCCACCACCUGGGGAGUACGGUCGCAAGACUGAAACUCAAAGAAAUUGACGGGGACCCGCACAAGCGGUGGAGCAUGUGGUUUAAUUCGAGGCUACGCGAAGAACCUUACCCAGGCUUGACAUGUAGUUGCCAGCCCUCGAAAGAGGGUGUUCUCGCAAGAGACGAUUACACAGGUGCUGCAUGGCUGUCGUCAGCUCGUGCUGUGAAGUGUUGGGUUAAGUCCCGCAACGAGCGCAACCUUUAUUCUUAGUUGCCAUCACGUCAUGGUGGGCACUCUAGGAAGACUGCCGGUGAUAAACUGGAGGAAGGAGGAGAUGACGUCAAGUCAGUAUGGCCCUUAUGCCUGGGGCUACACACGUGCUACAAUGGCCACUACAAAGAGCAGCGAGACCGUAAGGUGGAGCUAAUCUCAAAAAAGUGGCCUCAGUUCAGAUUGGGGGCUGCAACUCGCCCCCAUGAAGUCGGAAUCGCUAGUAACGGUAGAUCAGCUACGCUACCGUGAAUACGUUCC
rnacentral:rRNA from 1 species